UGCAUAUCAAAAGCGGAGGAAAAGAAACUAACAAGGAUUCCCCUAGUAACGGCGAGUGAAGCGGGAUGAGCUCAAAUUUAAAAUCUGGCGGUCUCAGAUCGUCCGAGUUGUAGUCUAGAGAAGCGUUUUCCGUGCUGGCCUGUGUACAAGUCCGUUGGAACACGGCGUCAUAGAGGGUGAGAAUCCCGUCCUUGACACAGAUCUCCAGUGCUUUGUGAUGCGCUCUCAAAGAGUCGAGUUGUUUGGGAAUGCAGCUCAAAAUGGGUGGUAAAUUCCAUCUAAAGCUAAAUAUUGGCGAGAAACCGAUAGCGAACAAGUACCGUGAGGGAAAGAUGAAAAGCACUUUGGAAAGAGAGUUAAACAGUACGUGAAAUUGUUGAAAGGGAAACGAUUGAAGUCAGUCAUGCUUUCCGAGACUCAGCCGGUUCUGCCGGUGUACUUCUCGGUUUGCAGGCCAGCAUCAGUUUUGGGCGGUGGAAAAGGUUGGCGGGAAUGUGGCAUCCUCGGAUGUGUUAUAGCCCGCUUUCGAAUACAUCGCCCGGGACUGAGGAACGCAGCACGCCUCUUGUAGGUCGGUCUUCGGACACGUCCGUGCUUAGGAUGCUGGCAUAAUGGCUUUAAACGACCCGUCUUGAAACACGG
rnacentral:rRNA from 1 species